GCGACAUUUUUAUUGUUGAAGUCAACGACAAGUUUCUUUGUUUUGUGUUUUAUUUGUUGUAUUUCACGUAUUGUUUUACGUAUGUUAUAUUUAAUUAUUCACAUAACACCUACAGCAAAUUCGACAAGAAGUAUUUAUAUAAAGAUAAAUAUUCGACAAAAUCUGAAAGAUACCCUUAGGAAAUUGAAACUGAAAAAAUAUCGAAAGCAGGUUGUUGAGAGAAAGGCGAGGGAUUCCCAAGUGCUUCAAAUGCUCUGCGCACAGUCGAAAAAUCUCGAAAAGGAGUUGUCCUCCGGAACAUUGUGCCAACAUGAGGAAAAUCGAUGAAUCAUCAAAUAAAUGAAAACCAUAUCAAGGAAAAAGAAAUCAAAUAAUUUUAUAGAAGUCAUUUUUAAUAGCAACAAUAUAUUAAUUAUAUUUUUGAUCAAAAUUGGUGAUACUGGAUUUUGAAGUACAACAUUUGUAAAUCAAAAACAAAUUAAUGUAACAAAAUACAUAUACAUCAGAAGAAUAUAUACACAGUCUAUUGAACGCACAAUAUCGAAGAAGGAAAUACCAAAAGGUCAAUUUAUACGAUAUGAAAGAUCGAAAGGUGAUCUAUUGAAUGUUAAAGUCUGACAAUUAUUUAACUACAAAAAUAGUCAAAAGAAGUCCUUAAAAUUUUCUUGGUAAGUCAAACUAUUAUAUAAUAAUAGUUAUAUAUUGGUAUAAAAAUCAUUAACUUUUUUUUUUCUU